rnacentral:lncRNA from 1 species
CGACAUUACUUGAUCAGUUCCACUUCACAACUGGUAUUUAACGCAAUCCAAUUAAAUUUACAUGAUCGGUAAUUAACUGUGUAAAGAAAGAGAUACAGCAUUCAUUAUUACGUUGAUCUACACCAACUUUUGCUAUAAAAACCUAGAAAUUCCCUCGAACCUGUUAAUGUCCAGUCUGAUUUAAGAAGUCCUGACCCCUUCAACGUAUCCUCACAUUUCCCUCUUUAGUUCUUUAUACUAAUAUGUAAGUAUUUCGUUUAUAUAAACACUUAUGUUGUAUACAUGUCGUGUGAAUGCAUUUCUUUGUUUUGAUUUCGUAUUACGCUUGGAAUGGCCUGACAUCUCCGAAAGAAGAAAUCACUUUCGUCUUUAAUAAACAUAAAAUUAUUUGUAUAUAUAUAUACACACACACACAAUCACAGAUCUGUGUGUAUAUGUUUACAUGUAUGUACGUUUGUGUGUGUGUGUGUGUAUAUAUAUAUAUAUAUAUAUAUAUAUAUACACAUUCAAAAUGUAACCGCAUGUGUACCGUUGACGAUUUUUUCCCCUCCGUCUUCCCUUCCUUGGAUCUUUCCUUUUCCUAUGUAUGUAUGUCUGUGCGUGUACAUAUAAAUAUAUAUAUAUAUAUAUAUAUAUAUAUAUAUAUAUACAUAUAUAUAUAUAUAUAUAUAUAUGUAUAUAUAUACACACAUAUAUAUAUAUAUAUGUGUGUGUGUAUAUAUAUAUAUAUAUAUAUAUAUAUAUAUAUAUACCUUCGAAACGUGGGAGUAGAUGAAACAGGGACAACUGAAGAAGGGGAAUAUUCCUUAUGUUUCAUGUCUCGUUUCUCUCUCUCUAUAUGUAUGCAUACACCGAAAGCUGUAGACCUAUACAAACAUCUCUUGAUUAGAACAACGAAGCUUACGAAGUUGAGAAAAUAAAACAAGGUAAAAUAUGUGUGAAAUGAAGAAGAGACGAAACUGUGUCUAGUGUCUACACACACACACAAACACACAAAAAGGGGUAAUCUAUAUUAAUUAGUCCGAAACAAGAUACGUUUUGUCGCACAGACGAUUACAGAUUAAAGGUAUGAGUUUAUUGCCAUAUCUAUAUAUAUGCAUAUAUGAAUGUAUGUGUGUGUACAUACAUGCAUACUCUCAGAGUGUAUAUAUAUAUGUGUGUGUGUGCGUGUGCCCACGUAUGUAUAUGAUGCUCGAUCAUUCGUUAUAUGUCUAUUUUUUCCCUGUUAGCAUGGGUUGAACGGGGAGUUAUUUGAGGCAGGAUUUUACAGCUGGUUGCACUUCACGUCACUAAUUCUUAACAGCUUUUUUUUUUUAUCAGUAAUGCUGUUUUUAUUCUUCGAAAGAACAGCGUGCUCGAUCGUAGUGUGAAGAAGGAAUAUAAACAUCAACACCGUUUCUCUCAAUCAGAGCAUCUACCUUCAUGCAUGCUCGUACACACACACGCACGACCUUGAUGUUUUUUUUUUUGCAUCAUGGACCCGUUUCAUGCAGGACAAUUUUUUUCAUAGACUGGUGGAUUACAUGCAUAAAAAUAAAAACCCUGCAGAAGAGCCCUGUGCUGGGACCACGUAAAAAAGCAUAACCGGCCAGCUUUAUCUAAAUAUAUAUAUAUAUAAAUUAGGUGCAGGUGUGGCUGUGUGGUAAGAAGCUUUCUUCCCAACCACAUGGUCCCGGGUUCAGUUCCACUGCGUACCACCCCGGGCAAGUGUCUUCUACUGUAGCCUCAGGCCGACCAAAGCCUUGUGAGUGGAUUUGGUAGACGGAAACUGAAAGAAGCCCAUCGUAUAUAUAUAUAUAUAUAUAUAUAUAUAUAUAUAUAUAUGUGUGUGUGUGUGUGUGUCUGUAUUUGUCCCCCACCCCCUCCCCACGUCGCUUGACAACUGAUGUUGGAGUGCUAACGUCUCCGUAACAUAGCAGAAUAAGUCCUGGGAUCGAUUUCUUUGACUAAAACCCUUGAAGUCGGAUUAAGAAGGGAAAAAGAAUGGAGAGAACGAAAAACGAUGAUGAGUAUAUGUAUCAGAGAGUGGAAGAUCAUAAUUAACUGACCCUCCUGUAUUUUCUUUUGCCCAAAGCCAGGAACGUUUUUACAUCCCCUUGUACAUAUACCUCUUUCAGUCUUGUAAAUGGAAGAAUAUAUUGGUUAAGUUCGUUUGUUCACCUGAAGGAGGAUAUCUACAGUUUAUUAGUUUAGAAAUAGAGAAGAAUUUCUCUGUUGUAUCUCAACUUAUUAAGUAACCUCUCUCUUUUAUUCUGUUCCUCUAUUCUUUCAGGACAUCAGACGACUUUGGCAGAAGAGAAUUCUUCACUUCAGAUGUAUCGUCGAUACAAGGAGGUUGUAUUAUCGAUUCAAGGAGGUUGUCAUACAGAGAUAUAAUCUAUGCUGAACUAUCGUGAAAUAUUUCUUCUGAACUGCAAUUUAUAAAUUUCUCAGCUUCAGUAUCUGGAAUGCGUACGAGAUGCUUUUGUGUUCUACGUAAUCUUGGACAAAUUUAUGGAGGAGUUCACAACAUCUUUAGAUACCAACAAAGAUCUUAUUUGGUGGAAAUAUAGGAGAGA